rnacentral:rRNA from 1 species
GAGUUUGAACCUGGCUCAGGAUGAACGCUGGCGGCGUGCCUAAUACAUGCAAGUCGAGCGAACAGAUAAGGAGCUUGCUCCUUUGAAGUUAGCGGCGGACGGGUGAGUAACACGUGGGUAACCUACCUAUAAGACUGGGAUAACUUCGGGAAACCGGAGCUAAUACCGGAUAACAUUUAGAACCGCAUGGUUCUAAAGUGAAAGAUGGUUUUGCUAUCACUUAUAGAUGGACCCGCGCCGUAUUAGCUAGUUGGUAAGGUAACGGCUUACCAAGGCGACGAUACGUAGCCGACCUGAGAGGGUGAUCGGCCACACUGGAACUGAGACACGGUCCAGACUCCUACGGGGGGCAGCAGUAGGGAAUCUUCCGCAAUGGGCGAAAGCCUGACGGAGCAACGCCGCGUGAGUGAUGAAGGGUUUCGGCUCGUAAAACUCUGUUAUUAGGGAAGAACAAAUGUGUAAGUAACUGUGCACAUCUUGACGGUACCUAAUCAGAAAGCCACGGCUAACUACGUGCCAGCAGCCGCGGUAAUACGUAGGUGGCAAGCGUUAUCCGGAAUUAUUGGGCGUAAAGCGCGCGUAGGCGGUUUCUUAAGUCUGAUGUGAAAGCCCACGGCUCAACCGUGGAGGGUCAUUGGAAACUGGGAAACUUGAGUGCAGAAGAGGAAAGUGGAAUUCCAUGUGUAGCGGUGAAAUGCGCAGAGAUAUGGAGGAACACCAGUGGCGAAGGCGACUUUC